rnacentral:rRNA from 1 species
AGGACGAACGCUGGCGGCGUGCUUAACACAUGCAAGUCGAGCGGAAAGGCCCUUCGGGGUACUCGAGCGGCGAACGGGUGAGUAACACGUGAGCAACCUGCCCCUGGCUCUGGGAUAGCCUCCGGAAACGGGGAUUAAUACCGGACAUGACCUGCUGCCGCAUGGUGGCGGGUGGAAAGUUUUUCGGCCAGGGUGGGGCUCGCGGCCUAUCAGCUUGUUGGGGGGGUGACGGCCCACCAAGGCGACGACGGGUA